GUGGGUAGUGUGAGCUUUGAAAUGCUCAACAUGGAAUGCUGUGAUAUGAAUUUCAGCAACCUUUUUGGGGAAACUAUUUUUAGUCUCUUAAUACAUGAUUAAUGUGACCAUUUUCUCCUUAUUGCUGCCUUAGAUUUAAUUAACAAUUGGUGUGAUUAUUUUUCCUGGAUGUGAUGCCAGACGAUUAAACCUUUGAGUCACGAUCACAGCCCUUGUAGGUUAAACAGCUACCAAAACUGCUUUUGAUGGGACAAGAGCAUCAUUGUAUCUGUGGACAAACUGUCUGAGGAAGAACCCACCCCUGGAGAGCAAGCUGGCUGCUCCUCCAAUAUCUGACUGCCACCCGGAAAGAAAAUUUGUUCCUUCCAAGUUAGACUAUGUGUCCCUUCUAUGAAAUGGACAGAAGUGUUCGACCAUUUAGCAUUUCGACACUGGAAAGAUGAACUUUCAUGAAAUACUGCUGCUUGGGUGAUCUGUCUCUUUAGAGGCAGACCCAGCUGACCUUUCUGUUAACAUCACAUAUCACUACCUGGCAUGUGUCAGACAGAUAAUUUCUAUUCUGACCAAGAUCCUGCAGUAGAAACUAUGAGAGAUACAAGGAUCAAUGAAGAAGAAUUGCUGCCUUCAAGAUGCAGUGAGUGCAGAAAAAGAGAACUGAACACACACACACAAUCUCUUAUGGGAACAACCCAGUGUGCGGGUGCCCAUUGUGGACACAAAGCAACAGUGCUUUAGAAUCACGCUCCACAAUUUCAAUUUUUAAUGCCGAACCUGUAUCUAUUGCUAAUUAAAACCCUUUUGAGAGUGCAAGAAAUGCUUGGAUUAUUUGAGAUAAAGUUCAAGCGCACUAGCCUGUCCUACACAAGCUGUCUCUGUUUCAUUUUGUGGCCUACACUUUGUGCCUGCAGGGCGGGGUGCGUCUAGAAGCUCCAGGUGUUGCAGAGGGCCAGCUGUGAAGGCCAGGUGGGUGGCAGGGGAGGGGCAGGAAGGAGAGGUUGAGAGGGCUGAGGCAGGAGCCAGCAGCAGUACUGGGCAGGGAGGGGAAUGGUGGGAAAGCAGAGUGGCUAAGACGGAAGCUUUGGGGUUGGUCAGAGACACAGUCAAGGCCAGUAAGAAGGAGACAGAAAGGAUGUGGAGGGUGGUUGCUCGCCAGCCGUGGUGUGAGGCCAAGUAUGUAACAUGAACACUUUGCAGCUUUUUGGUCAAACUGCUUCUAGCUGCCUUCCUAUCAGCCCAAUGUGCAAGAGAAAGCAUACAAUUCCCCAGCCUGUGUAUCGCCAAAGUUCAGAUUGCUACAGUGCCUGAAACUUCUAACAAGUCAACACAUCUCUCCCCUUCUAAAGACACUCCAAUCUGUGGUACUAUGUCCUAAGUCACAUUUGAUAUCUUUGUAUGAGGUUUUGGUUUUACAUUUAGGCAAAGAGUUCCUUGGUUUUCAAAAUAUUUUAUUUGUUAUCACGCACCAAAUAGUUUAUUUUAGGAUCCUGGGAUCUUUC
rnacentral:lncRNA from 1 species